AGGGUAAGUUCUCACAGAAGAAGAGAUGGAUAACAAGAGAUCUACUGAUGUUGCAGAUCAAUUGCAACGUGAUGGUAUGGAUAGUAGAUUGGAAGUUAAAAGUUCGUGUUGUCCGUUUGUGGGAAGUACCCGAUCGUUUUAAUCCCGAAAAUAUAUUGUCGAUUGAAUUGGUUCUUCAAGAUGUAAAGGUUUUAAUAAACGCUGUCUAUGAUCAAGUCUGGGUUCUCCCCUUCAACAGUUGGCACCAAAGGUAAUCCUACCCAUUUGUGCUUUCUGAUUUUAACUACUAUUCUUAAAAUUGUGUUUAUUUUUUAGAUGAAAUAUUUCACUUAUUCGUUGUUAUGGUGCUGAGCAAUUCACUAUUCCCUCUUCUAUUAUGAGGAGGACCUACAGAUGUCACUCUAGAAACUCCUAUUGUUCAUUUACCUUGAGGUAUGCUAUUCUUCUACUUUAAGUUUUUGUAAUUUGAAAUAGGUAAAAAGUUGCCUCCAUAAAAUUUGUAUGCAUAGCUAGCAACUCUUUCUUCAGAUAUACACCUCUCAAAGGAUUUUAUGGGUGGAAAUCUUAUGGUAAUGUCUAAUUCUACAGAGUCGUCAAGCUUUCUUUUUCCUUCGUUGUUAUGUUUUCCCCUUCUGAUGCUACAAAGAGUGAUAGUUUUAGAUCCAUCAACAGGGUCUACUAUAAUACUAAUAUUGUGCAUUAUAAAUAUUGGCAGGUCAGAAGGGCAUUUCUUAAUAGCUAAAUUUUAAGAAAAGUUGCAUGAGUUUCAAGGAUCGAUUUAAGAAGUCCUUUAAAAAGUUUGUAAGAUGGCCUCAUGUCUUUAUCUUUUGGAGUUGGUGAGUAUCAAAGAGGAAGCUUAGUAUUAAGGUUUACAAGUUGACAUCGGUUUGGCCAAGACUUUUUUCUAGAUGCUAUGUGCCUUUGUUCCUGUAAAUACUAAAUAUAUGUACACUCGACCUUAAAGUCAAAAGGAUAUCGAUAUACACAUAUAAUCAUGUUACAUAAUGUGUCUGAAAUAUUAGUUGUCUCUUUUUACUUUCGUGUUUGGGGCACAAUUUCAUAUGUAACCCAUUAAUUAUGACUUGAUUUUCAACUAAUUAAGUUUUUUUCAUUUAGCUUUCACGUUGUCUAAACAAGGGAAACAACUUCUAAAUAUUACUACAGCAAAAUUUAUAUAAAACUUCUUCUGAAAAAAGGAUAAAACGGGCAUUUGCAAUAUUCCAGCGGCUUAUGUGCAGUAUGUAUUGUGUUGAAUUAUCCUAAAGUAUCACUUCAAUCAGAAUUUGAUUUUCUUAAAUGGUGACAAAUGUCUCAUGUUAAUAGUUGUAUAACGAUUUAAAUGGUAAGAUGGCUUUGCGACUAUUUAUAUCAGCGGUUAAGAAUGGUGAAAGUUGAUGCUGCUGAUAUUAAGUUUCAUAGCAAUUCAUGGCCUUUGAAUGGUGACUUUGCUAGAGUGUGUUAUGCUUUUAUUUGGAUUCUUUUCCAUUGUAGCUCUUCAAUGAAAGGCGUAAGAGCUACCGGGAACAAGUAGCUGCUAAAGAUUUCAGCCCCAAAAAUAUGUGUUGGUAAUGUCUCCCUCUCUUCCUCUUCUUUCUCCCGCAUAUAAAAAACACAUAAUGGAGUUACAUCAACCACCACCUACAACUGAAGAUAUGCUUUUAAGUAGAAACAAAUAAGAUACUUUUACAUAUUUUACUUUGUACAACGCUUUUGUAGAGUUUAGAUUCCUAAUAAAAAUGCUUCUUAUCGUAAAUUUGUAAUUCUCAGCAAAUGGUUUUAGCAUUCCUAAAUUUGAGACCCAAGUUCAAAGAAAUAUUAAUUUCAUUUGCUAUACACAAAUGGGAUACUUGGAAUCCCAUUAUAACUCUCUUCUUGCUUCAGAAUUUUAUAUGAAAAAAGGGAGAACACAUAAAUUGCUGAUUUGUAGAGAUAUUCUAUAUGCCUUCAAUUUUCUAUUUUUCCUGAUAAUAUGAGUACCAGAUGAUCGGAGUGUUAGAAAAAAUGAUGGAGAAAAUCACUACUGUUCAUGUUGCCAAAAUAAAAGAAUGAACCUUGGAGAUGAAAGAAAAAAAUAAUCAACGACUUUGAAGGCAAAGAACAGGAGAGAAAAAUAUGUUCCAUUUGUUGAAAUGAUGGCAAACAAGUUAUAGAGGGUGAGAAGAAGAGAAUUGUAAAGCGGUAAGAACACAUAUAUACUUGGUGUAGUGAAGAAGUUGUGUGAAACUAUGGUAUGAAAGAACACGAAGAUAGAGACUGGCUUGAUCAUAUUUCAUCAUCAGAAAGCAUGUGCUUUUUUCCAUCUAAUCCAAGGAGUGAUCCAACGUGACAGAUUAUGUUAUAAUCAAAUUUGUAAGAUUAUAUAUCAUGAAAAUGUUCUAAGCAUAUUCCUUACAUGAAAGAUUGAAAAGAAGUAGUCUCUCAAAAUGUAAAAGGAAGAGCUUACUUUUAGUUCUUGAUGCAGUCCUUUCUAGAAAGACAAAAAUAACAUAGAAUAAUCUUUCCUUUUCAAAAAAGUUCCUAACUUUGUGUUUAUGGGUUGUAACUUUUUGGGAUUUUGAUCAUCUUAGCUUUUGAUUCGCCUAUUCACUCAGGAAGAUGUUUGAGGCUAACAGACUCAUGGUGUGUUCUUAUUCCCUUUUAUUUUCAUUUUUCUUUGUAUUUUAGCAUCUUA